AGAUCCUCAAAUUUACUUCAUCCUCACUGGAUGUGUAACAGCCACAGUAUCCGAUUGCUCUUUAUCAUUUCCUGCCCAGUUUCCCAGGCCAAUGCAUGUGUAAUUAUCAGGAUGUUUUUACGGCUAACAUUAUAGAAAAAGAGUACAGAACCACGGCCUUAUCACUGAAAACACACAUACACACUGAGACUAAAAUUACCUCAUUUGUCAUUCAGUCUGUCUGGGUCUGACAGUAUAAUGAUACUGGGUUAGUGUGGUCUUUUGUGACCAUACUAACCCUACUGAGAUAUACACAGUUUGACCACAGUUUUUUAUGAUAUGCAGUCCUACUUUAUCAUGACUCUCCUUGGCCCUAAACAUCCAGCACUGGAAGAGACCAACAAACAGAUGCAUUUCAAUACUGUAAUGGGAGAAUGGUCAGAGAAACAGCUGCUACAGUGGUUAAACAAAGAGAGGGAUUAGAGUGGCAGGAUUCAGCCUCAAAAAGAAAUGGGAAAAUGAGUGGCAGAAGGUUGUCCAAGGAGGGAGAAAACAUGCCAGACAUGACAAGACCACCAGCAGAACUGAGGAAAAUGGAAAAGUGCCCAUGCAGAAGAAUUACUUACUACGACGGGGUCUAAAGCAACUAAUGACCCAGUCUCUAAUUUACUGCAAGUCUGCAAAGUUGACUUCACAAAUCAUUUCUUCCAAAAUCAGUAAACUGCCAAUGGGUAAGGGUUAAAUAACAACAACAUUCUUGCUGGAGUUGCAUGUCACUGUGUGUUAAUUUCAAUGCUAAAAAAUGCCUUUUUACCCUUUUCCACAGUUUCUUCACUGGGCAUAAGUUCUCUUUUUCUGUCACAUUUUAUUCUUUUCUGGUUGAAGCCAAAGUUUCAAAAGCCAAAGCUUGUUUGAAAAUCUUUUACAUUUUCUGACUGUGAGUACAAACUUCAGCCAACGACACAUUGUGACAUUAAAACAGUGGUUCGCAACCUUUUAGAAUUGCAACACAGAUACCCCAAAUUACCUCACAACCCCUUGAGGGGCCUUGAGAACCACUGGAAGUCCUUUUAUAAUAAUAUCAAGCUCAUAUUAAUAAUGAUAAAACUAGAUCCUGACAAAUUCCAGUUUAGGUCAACAGCUCAUGAACAUUUACCUCACAAGAAGCUGGUGAUGAGUUCCUGCCAACCUUUUCUGCAAGUUCAACUUUAACUCAUUUACAACUCAUCUAGCCAUACGUUUGGUACAGAGGGGGCUAUUAUUUCAAUCUACUGAUCCUAUACCUUGAAGAUGACAGGCCUGCUGAUGAUAAAAUUAUGUUUAAAUACAUGCACCAAUUUUAAUAAAACAACAUGCCUUCAAAAUGUGUACUGAUGAAUGACUAGAAUGUGUAGUAUAUUAUCACAGAAUAUGAAAACAAUUAGCCUAUGGUUUAACUCAUUUGUAUUCACUGAACCCUGCAGUAGUUUGCAGAUUGUUCCUUUAACUGGGGUAAUAUAAUGGAGAAGAUGCACUGCAGCUGCCCAGUGAUGGUUUGUAUGCAGCAUGGAAUAUGGUGUCAUUUAUCCUCAGCAGGGAGUGUGUGUGUGUGUGUACGUGUGUGGUCUGUCUGCAGAUUGGAAGCUGCAAAUAUCUUGAAACAGAAUGGCUACAAUCUACCAGCUUGAAAUGGCAUUAUCAACAGGAAUGAAAUGCUGUGAAAUUCAGCAAAGCUGCAAACUGUAUCAUUCAGCAACUCUAUGACAUCAUCAUGGCUAAAUCUCCCAUGGUAUAAACUUCACCUUAUCUCAGACUGUCAGACAGUGAUGUGUAGGUGUUAAUGUCAAUAACAUCGAUAACAUCCCAACUGCCUCGGGUAGAAUAUUGAUCCCACAUUUAACAGACAUGGGUAGAUGCCUUUCAUUGUCACGUACCAGACUCCCAUAAAAUAACCUGAGGAGAACCAGCACUCAAUACAACUGCUGUUAGGGGCUUAACAAGAGUGCCAUCCUGUGGUAAAGUAAAACAUCAGUAAUCAGAGGCUCCAAAGUAAGCAGGAUUAAACUUCACCAGAAAUCCAUGAAGUGUUGUCUUUGACUGUGACUGUGUGCAUCACAGACAGUCUCAAAAUGUUUGGCUUAGACUUUAAAUGCAGCUGAUCUGAUGGAAAUGCAAACACCCAUGCUGUUGUAUUAGCACACUACCCGUGUUUGUGCUUCAGUAUGUUUGAGUU